GUCAGCGCCAUAUCUCUCUACACUUCCUGCCUGGUUUCCCACUGAAGAUAAGCAGGGUUAAUCCUGGCCAGUACCUGGAUGGGAGACCUCCUGGGGAAAACUAAGCUUGCUGCUGGAA
rnacentral:rRNA from 1 species